rnacentral:tRNA from 1 species
UCCCUGAUGGCUCAGUUGGUAAAGAAUCUGCCUGUAAUGCAGAAGACCCCAGUUCAAUCCCUGGGUCAGGAA